GAAUACUCAAAAGUCGUAGAAAAUUUUCUCUCUUCUUAAUUAUAAUCCUCUCUCUCUCUCUCUCUCUCUCCCCUCAGAUUAGCUACUGAGAAUUUCCAAGUGAAACGGACGGAAGAAACCAAGAAAACAGAGUAACCACACUCGUCCCUCUCAAUGUAUAGGAUACUGUGACCUCUUGCUCUUCAAAUGUAGUUCACCGUUUCUGAUCGGAGAAUGGCGAAGUGUCAUCGAAACGACGUCGGAUCUCUAGUACUCGAUCGCGCUACUGUUGGAGUUGGACCUUCCGGCAACCAUUUCCGGCUGUGGAGUCCUUUCUCCGGAGCCGCGUUUCGCAGGAGAUUGUUCGAUGCCGUCACCUGCGGAGGCAGCUCGCGUUACCGGCACGAACUUCAAGAAGAAGACAAUGCCUCUACGGCAACCGCAAGAACAAACACAAUGAGAGCGAUUUUGGACGAAGCUAACAAGAAAUCAUCGCAGCCGGAGAAAUUCGGAGACGAUGAUGAUAAGAAAGAGAAGCAGUCGAGCGGUAAUAAUACGAAAUCGGAGAAGCUGGCGGAUCUGUUGAACUUAGCGGAAGCGGAGACGGACAUGGAGACGAGGAAGAAAAUAGAGGCGCUCAACGAGUUGAAGCGCGUGGUGAGGCAACUGCAGGUUGAGGACGAGAUGAAGAAGAAAGCAGCUGCAGGUAGCGUGAGGUUGCUUGCGAAGGAGGAUUCGGAGGCUAGAGUUACUAUGGCUCUGCUUGGAGCCAUCCCUCCUCUGGUUGGCAUGCUUGAUCUCAAAGAUGUUGAUUCUUUGAUUGCUUCACUCUAUGCGCUGCUCAAUCUCGGGGUCGGAAAUGAUGCGAACAAAGCAGCCAUUGUCAAAGCAGGCGCUGUUCAUAAGAUGUUAAAGCUUAUUGAAUCUGCAGAUGAUCCUAAACCACCUGUUGCAGAAGCAAUAGUAGCAAAUUUCUUGGGCUUGAGCGCAUUGGAUGCCAACAAAUCGAUAAUUGGUUCUUCAGGUGCUAUCCCUUUCUUAGUAAAAACCCUGAAGAAUUUGGACCAUGGAAGUAGCUCCCAAGCAAAACAAGACGCACUACGUGCUCUGUACAACCUUUCCAUCUUUCCAUCCAAUAUUUCCUUUAUUUUAGAAACCGACUUGAUCUCAUUUCUCUUAAAUGCCCUUGGGGACAUGGAAGUAAGUGAGAGAAUUCUUUCGGUCUUGAGCAAUGUAGUUUCAACCCCAGAAGGUCGAAAGUCAAUUAGCCUUGCAUCAGAUGCAUUCCCAAUAUUGGUUGAUGUGUUAAAUUGGACUGAUUCACCGGGUUGCCAGGAGAAGGCAUCUUACAUUUUAAUGGUGAUGGCACACAAAGGGUAUGGAGAUAGACAAGCCAUGAUUGAGGCAGGCAUAGUAUCAUCUUUGCUUGAAUUAACUCUGUUAGGCAGUACAUUGGCACAGAAGAGAGCUUCAAGGAUCUUGGAGUGCCUGAGAGUUGAUAAAGGGAAGCAAGUUUCUGAGAAUUUUGGUGGGAAUUUGGGUGCGACUGUUUCUGCUCCGAUCUGUGGUUCUUCAUCCUCUUCUACAAACCCAAAUGGGGUUUCUAAAAAUUGUUUACUAGAGGAGGAAGAUAUGAUGAGCGAGGAGAAGAAAGCUGUAAAACAACUGGUCCAACAGAGUUUGCAGAACAACAUGAAGAGAAUUGUUAAGAGAGCCAAUUUGCCACAAGAUUUUGUUCCAUCUGAACAUUUCAAGUCCCUCACAUUGAGCUCAACUUCGAAGAGCUUACCAUUUUGAAAUGAUUGGGCGACUGCGUGCAGGCAAUGGAAUUGAAGUGGAGAAAUCUUAAAUCAGGGAAAGAGAAGGAUCAGUAAGUCAAUUUUUGCAGAAGGGAAGAUGACCAGAUGAGUCUUAGCUGUGUGUUGCUAUUAAAAAAUCGUCCAUAUUUCCUCCACUCGAGGUCUAUGACGUACAUGAUGAGUGUGGGAUACAGGCAUUUUCUGAUAUUUUUGGCUUAUAUUUUCUUCUCUUUUCUGUUUCUCUAGCAUUGGAGCUUUUAUGUGAAUUUUGGUGUAAAUAUUUUUGUUGUAAUGUAAUUUUAUAUCUACGAUA